GUACUUACCUGGCAGGGCAGAUACCAUGGUCACGAAAGUGAUUUUCCCAGGGCGAGGUUUAUCCAUUGCAGUCUAGAUGUGCUGACCCCUGCGAUUUUCCCAAAUGUGGGAAACUCAACUGCAUAAUUUGUGGUAGUGGGGGACUGCAUUUUGUGCUUUCCCCUA
rnacentral:snRNA from 1 species